UUUUAGUUAUCGCGAAAUAUUUUUUAUAGCUCAUGAAGAACACAACUAAACUAUAUCAUCUCCGCGAAAAAAAUUCAAGUUACACUUAUAUAUUAAAAAUUAUAACACCUAUAUUAAUAUCAUUCGUGCACAACCACGCGUACAAAUAAUAUCAUUAUAUGUAAUUGAAAUCCCAACAUGAACAGUAUAGAAGGACCAGGUCCCCUGCAGUGCCGUGAAUUGACGUCGUAAAUAUUUACGUACGCGUUACCUGCGCGACGACGCUACGACAUGGCUUUGUAUACGCGGUUGUCUAUUUUCGUAUGGUCAUACUCAUUACACAUUCACACAUUUGCCAACAACCGUCUCGAAGGUGUCGAGUAAUAAUAAUAGAAAUUUUCGAAAACAUUAAAAAGGACCUACAACUACGACGACUUUUGCAGAUAUUGUCAUCGCGCAAAAACAAGAAGUUAUAAGACCAUAUUAUAAGCAUAAUAUAAAUAGGCAGUACGAACCUUUGUUCAAG